CACAGAUGUUUGUUGUGCAGAAAUAAAGAGGCCACAACAAAGUUCAUCCCUGUGAACACCUUCUGACAUGUGAAGAAUGUUCAAACGUUCCACUUAACGAUGCCUGAGGUGUUUGAAACCUGUAACAAGCAGAGGUCGAGUUGCGUCUCCAAAGUUUGCAGACAAGGGAGUGCAAACAGAUUUACAAUUAUUAGAGCCUACAUCCGAGCAAAGUGUGAAUCGAACAUUUGAAGUCAAGGAAACACAGACAUUGGCUGAACCUGUUGGUGAGUAUAAAAUAACAGCACUUGAUUGAUUUCUGUAAGGUUUAUCCCCUGCUGAACUAUUUUGAUAUCAGAAU